rnacentral:rRNA from 1 species
UAGGGAAUCUUCGGCAAUGGACGAAAGUCUGACCGAGCAACGCCGCGUGAGUGAAGAAGGUUUUCGGAACGUAAAACUCUGUUGUUAGAGAAGAACAAGGACGUUAGUAACUGAACGUCCCCUGACGGUAUCUAACCAGAAAGCCACGGCUAACUACGUGCCAGCAGCCGCGGUAAUACGUAGGUGGCAAGCGUUGUCCGGAUUUAUUGGGCGUAAAGCGAGCGCAGGCGGUUUCUUAAGUCUGAUGUGAAAGCCCCCGGCUCAACCGGGGAGGGUCAUUGGAAACUGGGAGACUUGAGUGCAGAAGAGGAGAGUGGAAUUCCAUGUGUAGCGGUGAAAUGCGUAGAUAUAUGGAGGAACACCAGUGGCGAAGGCGGCUCUCUGGUCUGUAACUGACGCUGAGGCUCGAAAGCGUGGGGAGCAAACAGG